GCGCCGGUAGUCUAGCUGGCCUAGGACAUCUGCCUGCCACGCAGAUAACUCGGGUUCAAAUCCCGACCGGCGCA
rnacentral:tRNA from 1 species